AUUGAACGCUGGCGGCAUGCCUUACACAUGCAAGUCGAACGACAGCACGGGUGCUUGCACCUGGUGGCGAGUGGCGAACGGGUGAGUAAUACAUCGGAAUGUACCUUGUAGUGGGGGAUAGCUCGGCGAAAGCCGGAUUAAUACCGCAUACGCUCUGAGGAGGAAAGCGGGGGACCUUCGGGCCUCGCGCUACAAGAGCAGCCGAUGUCAGAUUAGCUAGUUGGUGGGGUAAAAGCUCACCAAGGCGACGAUCUGUAGCUGGUCUGAGAGGACGACCAGCCACACUGGGACUGAGACACGGCCCAGACUCCUACGGGAGGCAGCAGUGGGGAAUUUUGGACAAUGGGCGAAAGCCUGAUCCAGCAAUGCCGCGUGUGUGAAGAAGGCCUUCGGGUUGUAAAGCACUUUUGUCCGGAAAGAAAUCCUUUGGGUUAAUACCUCGGGGGGAUGACGGUACCGGAAGAAUAAGCACCGGCUAACUACGUGCCAGCAGCCGCGGUAAUACGUAGGGUGCAAGCGUUAAUCGGAAUUACUGGGCGUAAAGCGUGCGCAGGCGGUUUUGUAAGACGGAUGUGAAAUCCCCGGGCUUAACCUGGGAACUGCAUUCGUGACUGCAAGGCUAGAGUAUGGCAGAGGGGGGUAGAAUUCCACGUGUAGCAGUGAAAUGCGUAGAGAUGUGGAGGAAUACCGAUGGCGAAGGCAGCCCCCUGGGCCAAUACUGACGCUCAUGCACGAAAGCGUGGGGAGCAAACAGG
rnacentral:rRNA from 1 species